rnacentral:lncRNA from 1 species
ACAUGGAUCAGUGUUUGCAGUGUUCAGAGGAUCAGUAUACCAACAGAUAUCAAACACACUUUCUUAAAAUAGUUGUGCCCCUUUUUGUUCAUGAUGACCCCUUGGUCAUGGCACUUACUGACUUGGCCCUGUGCUUCUCGGCUCUUACAACUGUUGUAUGCAUGUCUUCUUGAAACACAGAGACUCCCAUAGUCAAGGCUAAUAAUGAAACUGUCAGUUAUAUCUUACUCAUCUCCCUCAUAUUUUGUUUUAUAUGUUUCUUGCUGUAAAUUGGUCAUCACACUAUGACCAAUUGCAUCCUGCAGCAGAAAACACUCUGC